rnacentral:rRNA from 1 species
UACGUAGGGUGCAAGCGUUGUCCGGAUUUAUUGGGUUUAAAGGGUGCGUAGGUGGCUAUGUAAGUCGUGGGUGAAAGGUAUCAGCUUAACUGAUGACAUGCCUGCGAUACUGCGUAGCUUGAAUGGAGUUGAGGUAACUGGAAUUACUAGUGUAGCGGUGAAAUGCUUAGAUAUUAGUAGGAACGUCGAUUGCGAAAGCAAGUUACUAGGCUUUAAUUGACGCUGAGGCACGAAAGCGUGGGGAUCAAACAGGAUUAGAUACCCCCGUAGUCC